GAGAGACGUAGGCAUUUGUAUUGAGAUUAGUAGGCAUUAACUUAAAAUGAGAAGUACUGUAAGGGGCAGGAGAGGAAAAAACAAAUGAUCAGAAAACGGAGUACAGGGGAAACUGAGUCCUGGUUAUCCUUAAACCCAGCCAUCUAGGAUACCACUAAGUAAGGUCCAGGAACUGCCUCCUCUCGCCCCUCCUUUCAGGAUUUCUUCCUCCCCUCCCCCACACUAACUGACUUCUCCCUUUCCUCCAUCUGCCACACCCUCUGCUGCCCAGGCCCCGCCCCUUUGCCCCAGACUACCCUGUUGACAAGAAGCUUUUGUCCCUCAGGAGCACUAAGUUCCUGGUGCUGCCUGGGGAAUGGAGGGGGGAUGGGGGGGCGGAGCUCAGCUGGAGGGAGGGCUCCUGGGAUGACAGUCUUUAUUGAGCUUUCUCUGCCUUUGCCCUUGGCCAGUAGAGGAGACAGUAGCUUCCGUCUCUACAGAUUUCCCCAUCCUUUCCACACCCACUGCCCCAUCCAAGGACAGAAGUCCUGUUCCAGAAGAUUUGGGAGACAUGUGUCAGCUUGGUUCUUGGAGCUUUAUAAUUCAAGGAUAGAGAGUUCCAACCUGCAAUUCUGUUUUCUGACUCUGCCAGACCUUCAGUCAGACCCAUGCACACCCUCCGCAAGUGUUUCACACUCCCUCUCCUGUCUCACCUUCACGUGCCCAGGCUUCAGAGUCGCCUAGCACACUGCCCCACUUGUCCCUCCUGAACACUUCUUGUCUCAGCCUGUGGAUAUUGGAAGUAAGUGACUGAGUUCAUUCAAAGCCAAGAAACAGGGCCAGUGGUGCUUUCUGCCAAGCCUGACACCUGAGUUUGAUCCCCAGGACUGAGGUGGGGAGAGAGCCACCUCCUGCAAGCUGUCCUUUGAUCUACCUAUACAUGCAUGCACGCACACACACACACCCAAAAGAAAAACAACAGCAAGCUGGGUAUGGUGGUGUACACCUUUAAUCAGAAGGCAAAGGUGGGUGGAUUUCUGUGAAUUCAAGGCCAGCUAAGUUCCAGGACAUCCAGAGCUACAUAGAGAAUUCUGUUCCAAAACACCAAACCAACCGGGCGGUGGUGGCGCACACCUUUAAUCCCAGCACUUGGGAGACAGAGCCAGGCGGAUCUCUGUGAGUUCGAGGCCAGCCUGGGCUACAGAGCGAGAUCCAGGAAAGGCGCAAAACUACACAGAGAAACCCUGUCUCGAAAAACCAAAACCAAAAACAAAAAACACCAAACCAAACAAAAAACACCACCACCACCACCACCACCACCAAAGAAGUUGAGAGUCAAUGCCCAGGAUGGGGAACGAUGGCGUCCCCGAUCCUCUCCCCAGUACUGUUCCUCCAGUGUCACACAAAACACCAAGCAGUGAAAUUAAAGAAAGUACUGGGUGAGACAGAUUACAGAAGGAUGCAACCUCCUAGGCUCACCGGCUGGCCCUCCUCCACUUCAUCCUGCUUGCAGCCACCAUAGGGUUAACCUUAGAGGCUGAGCAUCAAACAGCAGGAGGAUACUGGGGAGGGGGUCAUAGUCUGUUCCCUGAGCCCUCCUCUGUGACUCCAACUCCCUUUUCUGUCGAGCCUGGGACAAGGGUGUCUAUGGCCAGGGCUUUUGUUAGGAAGAGUCCGGUGCUGAGGGCCAGGCAGACCUAGGCAGCAGAGGGCUGCAAAUGCAGCUGGGAAAACCGAGGGUGCUGGAGACUCAAAGCCUAUACCAGGCGUGUUGGGCCCAAGAGGAGUCCAAGGGUCCUCUUCUAUGAACUUGGGAAUCGAGGGAUACAUUAAGGUCACUUCCGAGGAUGAGCACCACCUCAGAGGCAGGCAGGGGCAGGACUUAAGUGGCUAGGGAUGUCAACAUCAUUUGCCAGUCUUAAGUAGUUCAGAUUUAGGAAAGCCAGGACUCCCCCAACACAAACAAGGUCACACUUUCAAUUUAGGUGGAACAGAAAGAGAUUUCCUCUCCAGCGACAAUCUCCACUCCAGCACUUCAUGGUCCCCAGUGUAUCCUCACAAGACCUCUGAUCCCACUUCCUGUCCUGACACAAGACCCCAGCCCUAGCCCUGGGAGCAAGUCCAUUACGUCCCGAAUCCCUGCUCAGGCCGAGGGGACAGCCUUGUUUCUCUUUUCUGCUCCCCAGCUCUUCCGAUGAAGGGAACUGCCUUGUUUUUCCUUUAUCUUAAGAGGCUGGGGCACUUCCCGAGACCAGUGCUAGGGUCGGGGGUGGGCUUCGGCUGUGAAGCUGAGUGGGCAGGAGGGCAGGUGUCUCCGCAGUGAGGCAGAAGGGGGUUGCUCAGGCAGCUGCAGUUUGCCGCAGUGUGUGAGUGUGUGUGAGUGUGCGCGCUGAGCUCAGCCUCCAGCUCCGCCCCCACCCCCCACCCCAGCAUGACAAGUCAUUUUCUUGGCUGCCUCUGCAUGGGGGGGUGGGGUGGGGAUGGGGGUGCAAACAGAGAGGGAGAAGAAACUGGCUUCUCUAUUGAAGAGCCCCCAUCUUGGGAGGAAAAGCACAGAUGAGGUGAGGGUGGGGCCGAGUCGGGGAACCCCUGAGGUUGACAGGACCCGGAAUGCAGGGCAGCUGCAGAAGAACCAGUGCUCUCGAGCUCCUGAGCGGCCUCAGAGAGGCCACAAAGGGGGGCUUAAAGCCCUAAGCUCAAACUGGCCACAGGGAAUAGGGUGAGGGGAGCCAAAAACAAACCAGUUAGCCUGUGAGCAGGCACAUGCCACGUCUUAGUGACCCAUUCCUCCCUUCUCUUCCAGAGUGUUACCCACCUUCCCUUACUUGGCAAAAACUCAUCCUACUUGCCCUACUCAUCCCAGAACAGGAGCAGCAGCUGACCAGUGUAGUAGCUGAUAACCCAAGGACCCUCCCAGAAGAUACAUUCCAUAACAGCCCCCUUCCUCUCAGAUUCUUCUGUUUCUCCUCAAAGACAUAGCCCCCAAAUUCCUUCUAUGCCCUGACUGCCAGGCAAAGCCUGUGGCACCACCCUCUGUUACUGCCUCUCAGCUGAUGGUCCCCACCCCCACCUCGUACAGAGGUGGACUGUCACAGCCCCUGUUGGAUCCACAGGCUGAACCCCAGUCAGUAAUGUUUGCCUCCUCUCUCCAUCUCAGGAAGCCUUCCCACCAGGCUAGCCUCGGUCCAGAUGCACCAGAUUUACAAGAUGGACCCAGAGAGUGACCUUCAGUCACUGCAAGAACAGGAGACAGAGGCUGGGGGGCUAUGAAUGGAGGGGAGCGGUGUGGCGAUGGAAAUUCUCCACUGUUCUCCAGGGACAUAGGCCACCAUGAACAAAAUGUAUGCUAAAAGUCAGCCUUCCUUUUGGGUGGAUGGCCCCAAGCCUCUUGAGGACAUCAUAGCAAAAUUCUGAAGCGUUCAGUAGGUGUUUCUAUACCGACGCUUGUUUCCAAGAAGUGCCUGAGAAUGCAUCUCUCUGCAAACCACUUCCCAAGCAUUCCCUUCAUCUUAAUCUGAAGAAUAGCUAAGGAUUUUGUCUUAAGUUCCAUUCAUUUCUUACAUUGCUUAAAGUCUUUAUGGCCAAAAGGACAAGGCUAGAGCAUUUGGUGUGAAUUCCUAAUAAAAAAAAAAAAACCCAAACGUCAGUAAUGAGUUUAAUCCCCUGCAAUUCCUUUAUUCAGUCUUGCUUCUAGGAUCUUUGAGUGGUAUAGUCUCUUUGGUCACUGAGAAUAGUGGAGGACGUCAUGACAUGGGUAAUUCUCAACAGAAAGGAAUCUCAAAAGAGUAAGUGGCUAGUCUGACAGGAAGCCAGUCCAUCAGGAAGAUUCCAGCUUCACACUUUUCUUUCAAGUUGCUGCACAUAUUCUGAGUAUAAUGGAGCUUUGCUCAUGUAAGCCUAGUUUUCUCCAGCUUCUCAGCAGCUCAUGAAAAAUGAUCAAUGAGGAAAUGACCAAAGAUCUGCCAGACUGGAGGAGCAGAAAGAGGUGACUUUCUACUGUACUAGGCUGUUGAGAAUUAUUGACAUAUGAAUUCUGUUAUUUGAUGCCAAUGACUAUGAGCCUAAUGGAAUUCACAUUCUAUAAAACUCCAUGGAAGCAGGUCUGGUGAUGCAUACCUACAGUCCUAGCACUCAGGAUGUAGAGACAGGAGGAUAACAGGUUUGAUACCAUCCUAGACUAUAUGUCAAGUCAAGGUCAGCUUGGACUACAUAGUGAGACCCUGUUUUUAAAAAAAGAAAGUUGCAUGGAUUGGUGUGUCAACAUUUACAAUAAUCCAACCAGCUGUCCAACACCUUUAUCAAGGGACGUAAGACAUCCUGUACUCAGUAGACAUCUGUCAUAGAAUGGUAAUUCCUAAAAUCUUAUCUCACACUUCUAGACUAUUUCUCCGACUCAGUAGAAAUGAUCCCAGAACCAAGCCUCAAGAAAUCCAGAGACCUUUGUCCCGGCCUUGAUCUGAUGGUGCUGAUCUGCUCAGCCUUUGAGAGCAGCAUUCUGCUCUGCUCUGCAGAGCUGCCGGCUAAGUGAAGAGGAAACAGAAAUGCGUCCUGAAGGGUGGACUGUGAGAAACAAGGGUCUGGGAUGUUGAGCAAGGCACUCUGGAGUGUGUAUAAGGGGGGACAGGGAGGCUGGGGGAAGCAGAAAGGGGGACACAGAAGAAAAACCUGGGGUUUUGCCUGAAAGUGAUCUGAGCACUUUCUUAGCAGCUCUUUUCACCUGCUGUGUACAAAUAACGCUCUUCUUGGAAAAAUUAUGUUCUGACAUCAUAUCGUGUGUUUGAAGAGUGUACUGGGAAUGUCUGGGUAGCUGUGGAGCCGUUAAAAAAACAAAAACAAAAAACCCUCCCUUCUCCCCGGCUCAAACCUCCCACGAGGCCAGUUCUGCCCUGGAUACUGGACCUCUCCUCUUCCAGCCCACACCCAAAGGACUGAGACAAAUGACCCUAGU